GCAAGUCGAGGGGCAGCAUUUCUAGCUUGCUAGAGAAAGUUGAGAGCGGCGAACGGGUGAGUAUUACUUUAGUAUCUGCCCCCAAGUCAGGGAUAGCCCAGAGAAAUCUGGAUUAAUACCGGAUGUGCUGGAAACAGUAAAGCCUUCGGGCGCUUAGGGAGGAACUUCAGUCCUAUCAGCUAGUUGGUGGUAUAAAAGACUACCAAGGCUAUGACGGGUAGCUGGUCUGAGAGGAUGAUC
rnacentral:rRNA from 1 species